UCACAGUGUGUGUGCUAGUUCCCUCUCUCUCUCUCCUCUUUAUCACAAUCAUUCUUCAAUUCUCAAAAAAAAAUCAAUUUUCUUUCUCUCUGCGCGUAGACGAAGAACGACAAUGGCGAUUCCCUUUGUUCACGCAAAUCCCAAGGUAUAUGAAGAUCUAACUAAGUACCGUGUGAGCCUAACAGAGAAAAUAAGGAUCAAAGUAAUGGCGACGAACUCGUUGUCCGCCGCUUGGAGCUGGCUGAGACAAAUCGACUUCUUCAAUACUAGGCAUGCUUCAUAUCAUCAGUAAUCGCAUUGUAAGUUAUGCAAAGAAACGCAUCUCGUGUGUACUGGAAGAAGGAAGGAAUAUGUUACAUGUAAGCUGAGUCUACUAGGUUAGAAAUCCAUUUUCUUACUCAAAACUCAAAUAAGUGGGGGUGUUGGAAACAAGCGCAUCUAGUUUAUUAUUGUGCUUUUAUUGUACAUUUGAUCUUGUUCAUCUCUAAUAUUAAUAUUUCAUUUUUGUUAAACAUUUAUUAUAUUUUACAUUUUUAUU